rnacentral:rRNA from 1 species
AGAUUGAACGCUGGCGGCAGGCCUAACACAUGCAAGUCGAGCGGUAGAGAGGUGCUUGCACCUCUUGAGAGCGGCGGACGGGUGAGUAAUGCCUAGGAAUCUGCCUAGUGGGUGGGGGAUAACGUUCGGAAACGGACGCUAAUACCGCAUACGUCCUACGGGAGAAAGCGGGGGACCUUCGGGCCUCGCGCCAUUAGAUGAGCCUAGGUCGGAUUAGCUAGUUGGUGAGGUAAUGGCUCACCAAGGCGACGAUCCGUAACUGGUCUGAGAGGAUGAUCAGUCACACUGGAACUGAGACACGGUCCAGACUCCUACGGGA